AACUGUUAGAUAGUAAAAGUCUAUUUUGGCCAAUGAUGAGACUGGAAUUAAGUAGAUAAGUAUAGUAUUGAAUAUUAAGGCUUUGAUGUGAUUUCUUGUUAUGAAUUGAAUCUUUUCCUGUUUGAAACUGGUAUAAUCAAGGUUAGCACGUUAAUAACAGCUAUGUUAACUGAUUAAGUUUAAAUUGAUACAUAAUGGAUUUUUUAAGGAUAAUACUAGUUUGAAGGAAUGAAAGACAUGAAUAGGCGGAGAUGGCUAAAUUUAGAUAAAAACUUAAGUUUGGGGGGAAAUUUGGGAUAUAUAAGCUUCGCUAAAAAAAACAAAACAAAAAAAAUAGAAAGAAAAAAAGAAAGAAAAAAAAUAAAAAAUUACCGUGGCUAGUUUUGUUUCGGGGCCUUUGUUACUUGAGUAAGUACGCCCGAAGGGGUAUCUUAAAACCUAGCGCCCUAAGGUCUUAUAUGGUCUGGGAGUCGUUGGUCGAAAGCUCGCUAAGGGGUGACACUGUUAGCCUAAUGGAAUGAGACAUUGCACAGUCAUGGUUAAAAAAAAAAAACAACAACAACAACAAUAAAACGGGAAAAGAGCAAAAAGCCCCCGUAAUGAAAAGUAAAGCAUAAGUAUCCUGGAUUGGACUCUUGAACUUGGUGGAUGUUUGAAUUUUGUUGGAUUUAGCUUGUUCGUGAAUUUUGUGAGUUUGCACUGUAUGAUGCCUUCGAA
rnacentral:lncRNA from 1 species